CAAUAAAUUUGGAACUAAUGAAUGAAAUUAAUAAUGGUAUACAAAAAUACGAUAAAAAAAUUCCUUAUUUAUGUUCUUUCACGGAAGAAAAAUUAAAAGCGGAUACUUUGAGUCGGAUCGGGACAGACCGUAUAGGUUCAAACCGUAUAGGGUCAGACCGUAUAGGGUCAGACCGUAUAGGGUCAGACCGUAUAGGGUCAGACCGUAUAGGGUCAGACCGUAUAGGUACAGACCGUAUCGGGUCAGAUCGUAUAACGUCAGAUCGUAUAACGUCAGAUCGUAUAACGUCAGAUCGUAUAACGUCAGAUCGUAUAACGUCAGAUCGUAUAACGUCAGAUCGUAUAACGUCAAACAUAUCAAAUGGUCGGAUAAAUGAUAACGAUAUAUAUUACAACAUAGAAAAAAAAAAAAAUUCUGAUGGGAAGUUGAAUGUUUUUAAUAAAAAUAUAUACACUGAGAUGAAUAAAAAACAUGAUUAUAUAUAUAAGAAUGGCACCAUUAGUGAACUGAAUGUAAAUAUUUUGAACGAUAUGGGUAAUAAUAUAAAUAACAAUAAUAAUAUAUACAAAAACAAUAAUGAUUAUGAAAAAUAUAUGAGCUUAAAAAAUGAGAAAAGUAACAUUGUAUUAGAUAAUGAUUUUGAAGACCGUUUUAGAAAUUUUAGAAAUGAAACUUCACGUUAUAGCAAUAACAAUAAUAACAAUAAUAUUAAUAAUAACAAUAAUAUUAAUAAUAACAAUAAUAUUAACAAUAACAAUAAUAUUAACAAUAACAAUAAUAUUAAUAAUAACAAUAAUAUUAAUAAUAACAAUAAUAUUAAUAAUAACAAUCAUAAUAAUAAUAAUAAUAACAAUAAUAAUAAUGCUAAACAUAGCGAUAGCAACGCUAAUAACACGAACAAACGUAAUUCAUAUUAUUACAAUAAAGGUGAAACAAGCAAUAGUAUUCGAUAUAACAAUAUGGAAAAUAGAAAUGGAAACAUAAACCCUUACUACAACAAUAUAAAUAAAGAAAAUAAUUAUGCACAACUAAAUAACAAAUUUAAUAAUACAUCGAAUUAUAUCCAAGGAGAAAAAAAAUUAUCUAAUGAAUAUAUAGAUAUUGAUUAUUUAAAAAGAAAAACACGUUAUGAUAAAAUAGAAGAUGAUAAUCAAACUGAGAGUACAAGAAGAAGUACCAUAAUUAUUGGUGGCGCUGAUGGUGAUGUUGGUUUUGACAUUGACAUUGAUAAUGAUGGGGUUGCGAAUGAUAAAAGUAAACUAUUAAACAGAAUGGUGAAUGAAAAUGCUAAGCAACGAAAUUCAUAUAAUAAUAUAGGGUUAAAUAAAAUAAAUACAAAUUUUGAUACUUAUAACAAUAAAUAUAACAUAAAUACGAACGAAUUAACUCAUAAUAAUAUGAAUAGCAAUAACAAUAAUAGUGCUGUUAAAAAUGUUCUAGAAAAUAUAGACAAAGCAGAAAGAAAAAUCGUUAACAACCAUUUAAGAAAUUCAUUAACACAAAAUGGUUAUGUCUCUAAACGUAUGAGUUCUAUACUUUUAAAUCAACAUACUCCUCCAAAAGAUAUUUUUAAUAUUAUAAAUUCAAAUGAAAAUGAAAACAUACACAAUCCUAUGAAUAGAAGGAUUUCUCUUGGUGGUGAUCAUGUUAUGAAUAGUGCUAGUGGUAUUAAUAAGGAUGUGUCAUUAAAUAGAUACAGUUUUUAUGGUCAAAGAAAAAAUUAUACUGAUCGUACGAACGAUAUUAGUAGCAAUAUAUUAAGUUCUGUAAAUAAACAAGCACAUUCCAAUGAUAAUUUGUCAUAUAACAAAGGAAGUGAUAUUGAUAAUCGAAAAAUAAAUCAUGAUUUUUAUUCUAAACAUAAUUUUACAAAAGAUAAUUAUUUAUUAUAUAAUAAUGAUAGGAAUUUAAAUUAUAAUAUCUUAGAGUGUCAUAAUACUUCUAGUACACCAAUGGAUAUAGGACACAUGAGUAAUUUUUCAAAAAAUGUUAUGAAAUCAGUUGAUUCAAAUUCAAACAUGUAUACAAAUAAAUAUUCAAGAGCUUUAGACAUAAACGACCUAAAUAGUAAUACUAGUAAAAAUUAUAUAAAUGGUCCAAGUAGUGUAAAAAGUGAGUAUUCUAAUAUGAUGAUGGAUCAUUAUGCAAAAAUGGCUGAGACACCUAGGUCAUUUUCGUCGAAUAUAUGCUUAACGCCAAUGACAAGAAAGUACUUGCGAGCGAACAUAUGAUAGGUAGGUAGGUAGGUAGAUAGGUAGGUAGGUAGGUAGGUAAGUAGAUAGUUAUAUAUAGAGAAAUAUAGAUAGGUUUGUUUUUUUUUUUUUUUUUUUUUUUUUUUUUUGGCAUGUACUUGCAUAUCCCUAUAAAUGGUUAUAUAUUUUUAAAACGCGUGUGUAUAUGCAUAUAAACG
rnacentral:lncRNA from 1 species